UCUCCAUUAUCUGCAGAUUACAGCUGAUGGUUAAAUUGUGAAUCAGGUCCUUGUGGAUGCAGAUUGCACACCUGAUGGAUAAAUUAUGCACAUCCAGAAAUUGGAAAAUUGGGGCUGGACAAUCCUUCAGCAAUGUGUAGUUGAUGCGGUGGAAAUGAACAAUAUAAAUUAUCUUCAGGUUCUGGUGCAUAUUUGCUUAAAGACACUCUGUGUAGGUUUCAUUUUGGAACGAGUGCAAUGGUGUGUUCUUUGUGUUCUUAAUUUAUUGGACUUGAGAUUAGAAGAAACUGUCAAUAAAACCUUCUGCAGAGUUUUUAGAGCUUGUGCUUCUAUAGAUUUCCAUAAAGUUAGAAGAAUGAUUUUAUUGAUAUAUAGGCAUGUAAUUGUAUUAUUUGCAACUUGUACAUGAUGUCAAGUUUCUAGAUAUAGCACCACUUUUUAGGAAUUGACUGUAUAGAAUUAAUGAUAAAGUAUUUAGAACACAAAAUUUUAGCUUAUCUAGAUUAGGAAAAUUAUGUGAUGAUUAUGGAAUGUGGUUCUUGCUUGUUUUUCCCACUUCCUAAUUCCUAAGAAACAAAUUUUGUGAGUUGAGAUGCGUUAUCCGUAGUCAUUAGAUGAAAAUGUCCUGUUUUAUCCAUUCAUAUGGAUCUUCUUUCUCAGAUCUAAAUCCAACUCGCUUCUCAUUUUUGACAGUUACCUAUUCAGUAUUAAGUAGUAAAAGACUGUAUAAAGAAAAAUCUGCAUCAGGCGAUCUUGCAGUUGAAUUAUUUCACUACUUGUAAUUAUGUUCUUUAUACUUUUGUGAUAAAAUGAUUAGUUUCUUCUUGAGUUUCUACGUGUGCAAUUAAGAAUGUAUCGCAAAUUGCGGGUCAUUUUUAGCUGCUAUGUAUGAUAUCAGACUUCCUUGGGUAGUUCUGGCACUGUCACUGGGGUUGAUGUUGCAAGGCAUAGGCUGGCGCCUGGCAGCUUGGAGCUCAUUGUUGUCUAUUUGCAGCUGAUAUACAACUUGUUUUUCUUUGAUUCGUCGGGGCUCAGUCAAAUUCCAAAUAUGUAACAGACUCUUAUAGAAGUUAUUGUUUCUUGAUUUUUGUAUUGUGCCUGUCUAGAUGAGUUUUCAGUUCUGUGCAUUUUCUUAAAAUAUCAUUCUUCAUAGUUUUGGAUAGAGAUUAUGUGUUGGAUAAGAACUUAGAUACAUACAAAGAGUGGACAUCUGGGAAGACUUUGAAAGAAAGGGAAGGGCAAACAAACCAUGGGAAAAUGCUAACUUGCAGCUAGUCUGACAAAUUCAAUGUCCCGAACUUAUAUAUAAUGGACUGCUUUCUGUACGCUGUGGUUAGGCUCAGUAAAAGGAGUUAUAUCACAGUGUGAAGAUAUCUGUAUAUAGUUCUCCAUUAUCUGCGGAUUACAGCUGAUGGUUAAAUUGUGAAUCAGGUCCUUGUGGAUGCAGAUUGCACACAUGAUGUAUCAAUUAUCACAUCCAGAAAUUGGAAAACUGGGGCUGGACAAUCCUUCAGCAAUGUGUAGUUGAUGCGAUGAAAAUGACCAAUAUAAAUUUUCUUCAGGUUCUGGUGCAUAUUUGCUUAAAGACACUCUGUGUAGGUUUCAUUUUGGAACGAUUACAAUGGUGUGUAUUUGUGUUCUUAAUUUAUUGGACUUGAGAUUAGAGGAAACUGUCAAUAUAACCUUCUGCAGAGUUUUAUAGAGCUUGUGCUUCGUCUAGAUUUCCAUAAAGUUAGAAAAACAAUUUUAUUGAUAGGCACCUAAUUAUAUUAUUUGUAAGAGUUUCAAGCAAUAUAACCUAGAGUUAUACUUGUACAUGAUGUCAAGUUUCUAGAUAUAGCACCACUCUUUAGGCAUUGACUGUAGUCUGUAUAGAAGAUUUACAUCUUGGUUCUGUCAACUAUUUGUAUGGCAUCAGUGUUUUAUCAUCAGUAGCAAGUUCAGGACAGUAGAUUCUUUCUUCAGUCUGAUUUGAAACCUAUGAGGCAUGACUUUGGUGUCACUCCUUAUUAGUGAUGUCUAUACUAUCUAUACAUUGUCGCAUGGCAGCACCUGCUCAUUGCUAAUCCUCCUCUUUCUCAAUUUUUUUCCUCAUAUUCUCCUUGCAGUUGCUACCGCAGACAAAUGGUUUUAAAUUGCUUAAAAUUAAAGGUCUCUUGUUUGCAGAACUUGCAGCUUUUACUAUUCCUUGGAUUGAAACUUUUAAAUUUGGAACAAGGCCAAGAAAUCAUAUAUGUCUUUUUAGUGAUGUAGUUUAAGAGCUGCUUCUGAAAAAGGAUGUGGAGCAGUACCUCUUGCAAAAUAAACUGCUGGUUAGUUUCUUAGUUCCCUCAAUUCUAUUUUAUUAAAAAAUCAUCUCUCCUGUGUUUGUGCUUUACUUUCUGUUGCAAUUGGACUUGUUGAUAGUUUGCCCUAUUUUAAUUUUGAACAUAUAUGGAAGAAGAGCUACUCAGGAGGUGCUUUUACGGCCCAUACAUAUUCAAGGAACAGCUACAGUUUUACAUUAUCAGGGAAGAAGUUUGAAUUAGAUACAAGAAUGAUUAAUUUUUUUUUACUUUUAUUAACAUAAUCCUUAAGUUAAUUGCAUUGUCUUGCCCCUUCCAUACAUACAGAGUUACUGGAAAUAGCGUGUGCUGAUAAUUGGCCUAAAGUUAUGUGGUAAGUUCAGUCAUGUGGCAAAGUUUACUGUCUCCAGUGGCGGAGCUAGGAAAAAUUUGCAUGGAGGAAGCUUGAACAGCCUUUUCCUAUAAAAAAAAAAGGAAACUCAGGUCGGUAUAAGUGUGUUUUGUUGGUCUAAAAAUUAAAUCACUUAUAAGGGGUUUGAACCCACAGUUCUCUGCAAAACUAGCAACAUAAUGUGGCCUUUGUGAACCAUUAGACCAACAAAAACUUUGUCGACAACUGUACAUAUAUAUACUAGGGGUCCAUAUAAGUAACUUAUAAGCUGAAAAACAUUUGAAAAUUUCGGCUUAUGAUCUAAGCCAAACACGAAGUGGUCACAUCAAGAGCAUGCUGUUUUAUUCAUUAACUUGCAUGCUCCAUGCUUGUACAAGUGUUCCCUAGAGUAUGAAGAAUAUAUUAGUAACACUGCAUGAUUCAUGCUAUCACAUGCAUUGCUGUGUGAUUACUGUGCGUCUGUGCCAAGCAAGUUCUGUUUAGGUGGUUUAUCAGAAACCAGGAACUGUAAGUCUAAAUUAAGAAGCUAUGAUCAUAACCAUGAAUAUGAAAAGUGGAGGAUCCAACCAAAAUUUAGAGGGGAAAAUUUAUAUAUAUAUAUAUAUAUAUCGAAUUGAAUUGAAUAUAAAUCCAGUUUACAAGUUUAC
rnacentral:lncRNA from 1 species